UACGGAGGGUGCAAGCGUUGCUCGGAAUUACUGGGCGUAAAGCGCGUGUAGGCGGUUUCGUGUGUCUGAUGUGAAAUCCCCGGGCUCAACCCGGGAAGUGCAUUGGAAACUGCGAGACUAGAGUCCCGGAGAGGAAGGUGGAAUUCCAGGUGUAGCGGUGGAAUGCGUAGAUAUCUGGAAGAACACCGGUGGCGAAGGCGGCCUUCUGGACGGUGACUGACGCUGAGACGCGAAAGCGUGGGGAGCAAACAGG
rnacentral:rRNA from 1 species